GUUUACCAACGAAAUGAGCAAAACUGUGCGCAUAGGUGUACGAAAUGAGCCAACGAGGCCAACGAAGCUAUCUUCCGUGUCCUGCGGUGUGAUGUUUGGCGGGAAGGUUUGCAGAUUAGGGUCUGUUUCAUAGGGAUGAAUUUUUAUAGCUUUGAAUAUUACGACAUGUACGUUAGUAAAUACAACGUUGUGCCCCAUAUUAAUGUGCUGAUAUUAGUUACGUCAGUGUGCACCUACGAAGCCUCGGACACAUUCAAAAUGUUGAGAUUUUUGAGUCGGAGAAGAGGACGUAAUGCACAAAAAACUUCAACACAAGUCAAAUCUUGAUCACAACGGAUCAUCCCUAAUAAACAUGUCGUUCGGUGUAGGGUUAUACUUUUCUAGAUGGCACCGAUCUGUCCAUAGAUUUAUCUGCAUGAAUUUGAUGAGCAUUUGGUGCCAGUUGUCUGUGAAUAUCAGAAACCUCUUCAGGACGUACAUUCCGUUGCAUCUGCACUCAAGAUGUACUUCCUUGAACUUCCAAACCCUCUGUGCACAUAUCAGCUCUACCGCGCCUUUGUUGAUUUUGUUGAUGCCUUUCAGCACAGUCCCGAAGUGGGUUGCAGACUUUUCCACAUGCAGCAUGCUGUGCAGAAACUGCCACUUCCACACUAGAGGUAUUUUUGGUGAUGCUUGUUAUUGAAUAAAGAAAUUUGUGUCAUGGACAAGUAAUUUACAUAGCUCACCUCUGUUAAUUGUAUUGUACCCGUUUCACUUGUUAAAGAAAUAUUUUAGGAAACUGGUUGUCAGCAAUUCAGCCUAAUGCCAUCAGUUCAAAAUAACUGUGUUGCAAACCAUAAUAUUUGGUCAGGUCACAUUUCCUCUUUGAAAUCUUGUCAGGCAACUUCCUUAUUUGGCUAUGCUAUACUUUUCAGUUGCUACUUCAGCAAGACUUAGGUGAGUGUACAAGACAUGGAAAUUUAAAGCAGAGAACGUGUUUCUAAAAUAUUAUGGUGUAAUGUUCAAUUUAUGAGUUUGUAUGGGGUAUUUAAUGUGAUUAUUAGAAUAUACCAUACUUUUCAAAGUGUAUGCAAUAAAAUAAUUUGUGUGGGGAUUGUA